rnacentral:rRNA from 1 species
ACUCCUACGGGAGGCAGCAGUGGGGAAUUUUGGACAAUGGGGGCAACCCUGAUCCAGCCAUGCCGCGUGAGUGAAGAAGGCCUUCGGGUUGUAAAGCUCUUUCGGCCGGGAAGAAAUCGUGUUCUCUAACAUAGGACAUGGAUGACGGUACAGGACUAAGAAGCACCGGCUAACUACGUGCCAGCAGCCGCGGUAAUACGUAGGGUGCGAGCGUUAAUCGGAAUUACUGGGCGUAAAGCGUGCGCAGGCGGUUUUGUAAGACAGAUGUGAAAUCCCCGGGCUUAACCUGGGAACUGCGUUUGUGACUGCAAGGCUAGAGUACGGCAGAGGGGGGUGGAAUUCCUGGUGUAGCAGUGAAAUGCGUAGAUAUCAGGAGGAACACCGAUGGCGAAGGCAGCCCCCUGGGCCUGUACUGACGCUCAUGCACGAAAGCGUGGGGAGCAAACAGGAUUAGAUACCCUGGUAGUC